rnacentral:rRNA from 1 species
UACGUAGGGUGCAAGCGUUUGUCCGGAAUUAUUGGGCGUAAAGAGCUCGUAGGCGGUUUGUCGCGUCUGCUGUGAAAACGCGAGGCUCAACCUCGCGCCUGCAGUGGGUACGGGCAGACUAGAGUGCGGUAGGGGAGAUUGGAAUUCCUGGUGUAGCGGUGAAAUGCGUAGAUAUCAGGAGGAACACCGGUGGUGUAGACGGCUUUCUGGACCAGUACUGACGCUGAGAGACGAAAGCUAGGGGAGCGAAUGGG